rnacentral:misc_RNA from 1 species
CUGGAUUUGAAAAUCUUUUAGCAAUGGAUUUAUUUAACUAAAGAUUCUAGGCAUUCUUUGUAACAUUCAAUUUGUUGAGAAUAUAGCGCCCUUGAAUGAAAAUUUUCCCAUGACAGUGUCUUCAGGAAAAGAGCCUAAAUUUUUGUCGCAUAUACAAAGAACAAUCUGCUUCUGGUGACAACUAAGAAAGAUUUCCAAAAAUGAGAGUUCAUUCGAGGGCAAAUUUAUCAUCUUUUAAGCUGCAUCAGCAUGCUGACCUGUGUGAUUGAUGGGUAGAUAAGGAAAUUUAUCCUGUCCAAUUUUUAUUUUUUGGUGUCUCAUUCAACUAAGAUGUCAUUAACGAAAUCAAAAUGCAUGUUAUCUUCUGCUCAAUCUUAAUGUGUUCCCAUUACAUAUAUAUGAUAGAUAUUCCCAGUAUUACAGGUUAAUACCAUUGUGGGGCUGGUCUCAUCAUUGAUUUCAACAGAGGUUGCUCAGCAGAGAUUUCAGCACUUGCUAAUUUGGUUGCUUUGCCAAUUUUUUACCCAGUUAAAACAAGCUUGAUUUAUAAAGAUCCCAAGCCAUGUUCCUACCUUCUUCAUUGGUUUAAAAAAUCAUCUGUGUCCUGCCAUUCUUUAUCAGACAGUAAUUUGAUGCACUUACACCACGAGGUAUUAUUCACAGUUGAUCUGGGUGGCUGGAUGACCAUUGUUACACAAAAGCAUCAGAAGCUUAGAUCCAUCAUUCAUGACUCUUCAUUAAAUACCAGUUUGACUCAAAUUACAUAAUAGAUUUUUUUUUUUGUUCGUCUCACUUUGUUGCACUGCAAAUUGUUAGAGAACUGAUUGAAAAUAUGUGUUUCAUGGUAGAUUAUAGUACGAUAUACCCAUCAGUCUAACUUACAUAUGACAGUUUUAAAUGAAAGUAAAUUGCAAGGCCAGCCAGGAUUAUUGUCUUUAUUUUUCCCAGCUUCUGUUUUCCUCUUUCAUGUUCUGUUCUUUGGUAGAAAAUAAGAUUGAACUACGCAUAAUUUGCC